ACCAUCGAGUCUUUGAACGCAAGUUGCGCCCGAGGCCAUUCGGUUGAGGGCACGCCUGCCUGGGCGUCACGC
rnacentral:rRNA from 1 species